rnacentral:rRNA from 1 species
GACGAAGGAUGCAAGCGUUAUCCGGAUUCAUUGGGUUUAAAGGGAGCGUAGGCGGCCUUGUAAGUCAGUGGUGAAAUCUUUCCGCUUAACGGAAAAACUGCCAUUGAUACUGCUUGGCUUGAGUACAGAUGCUGUGGGCGGAAUAUGACAUGUAGUGGUGAAAUACAUAGAGAUGUCAUAGAACACCGAUUGCGAAGGCAGCUCACUAAACUGUAACUGACGCUGAGGCACGAAAGCGUGGGGAUCAAACAGG